UAUGAGGAGCGUCUUAAAGAGCUGGGUAUGUUUAGCCUGCAGAAAAGAAGACCAAGAGGAGACAUGAUAGCCAUGUAUAAAUAUGUGAGGGGAAGUCAUAGGGAGGAGGGAGAAAGCUGUUUUCUUGUGUCCUGGAGACUAGGAUACCAGAAAACAAGCUUGCUCCCUCCUCCCUAUGACUUCCCCUCACAUAUUUAUACAUCAUGUCUCCUCUCAGCCUUCUCUUCUGCAGGCUAAACAUGCCCAGUUCUUUAAGCCGCUCCUCAUAGGGCUUGUUCUCCAGACCCUAGAUCAUUUUAGUUGCCCUCCUCUGACCAUCUUGACCAAACUUUCAUACCCUAUGUGAAUUCUUGGAAGGUAUGAGAAGUUUAGAGACACACACACAGAGAGAGAGAGAGAGAGAGAGAGGGAGAGAGGGAGAGGUUUGAGUGUUGGACUCAGAUUGUGGCUUUAUUCCCCACUCAGCCACCCACUUGGGCAAGUCACACACUCUCAGCCCCAGAAAAUAAAAGCUAUGAAAAUUUGCCAAAGAUCAGAGGAUAAGGGAAAUGAUCUGAGUUUUGGUGAGCUAGCAGUGUUAAAUGGGGUCUACCACUGUACCGAGUUUGAAGAAGAUAGCUCAAAAAAUGAGGGCAGGAGAGUCCUGUAAAUCCCCCCCGGUGCUGUUUUUUGGCCACUGCACAUGCACGUCCGCCAUUAACAAAUUACUUUUGAAAUUAACGAAUUUUCGUUAAAUUUUGAAAUUUUUGAAGGCAAAAUUUGGAAAUGACAUCAGAAACGAAACACUAGCACCCUCAACUUUUGAAGUGAGUUUAGAAUCAUUUUUUUCAUGGAUCGCUCAAGCCUAAUAAUAGAAAUGUGAGACUAUGAGCUGAACAGCAUUGGAAUUCUUCUAUAGGAAAAAAAAACAUUAGCUAGUUUAUAGAGAAAGUUUUUCCAGAUGAAAUAUGUCAUACUGAACUUGUGGCAGAACUGGAUCAUUGUACUUGUGGCUAAUUACCAACUUGGUGGAUAUAGUGGGAUGAAAUACAGUAGAGUCUCGCUUAUCCAACGUAAAUGGGCCAGCAGAACGUUGGAUAAGCGAAUAUGUUGGAUAAUAAGGAGAGAUUAAGGAAAAGCCUAUUAAACAUCAAACUAGGUUAUGAUUUUACAAAUUAAACACCAAAACAUCAUGUUAUACAACAAAUUUGAGAGAAAAAAUAGUUCAAUACACAGUAAUGCUAUGUAGAAAUUACUGUAUUUAUGAAUUUAGCACCAAAAUAUCACGAUAUAUUGAAAACAUUGACUACAAAAAUGCGUUGGAUUGCGAGUGUUGGAUAAGUGAGACUCUACUGUAGGUACAAACAUUUCAACUGUAAAAUGAAUGAAUUGUCAGAAAGUACAAACAAGUGAAUAGAAUGCUACUUAAAUUUUACUUUUCCCUGUGCUUCAGGCAGUGUGGAAGUUUUAAAAAAAGUUUAAAGCAACCUUGUACAUUUAUGAAAUUUAAAGUUCAUUUCUUUUUAAAAAUAAUGAAAACUUCCUGACAGAGAGACAGACCAGUUAAUUCAGGCACUUACUAAACAGCACCAUACACAACUUAAUUUAUACUGCCAGUAGUAUAGAAAUGACACAUCUGGGAAUUUUUUCUAAUGUCAGGAGCACCUUGAGAAACUGCAAGCCGCUUUUGGUGUGAGAGAAUUGGCUGUCUGCAAGGACUUUGUCCAGGGGAUGUCCAGAUGUUUUGAUGUUUAACAUCCUUGUGGGAGGCUUCUCUCAUGUCCCCACAUGGGAACUGGAGCUGACAGAAGGAGCUCAUCCACUCUAUCCCUGGAUUGAAACCGGCAACCUUCAGGUCAGCAACCCGACCUUCAGGUCA
ensembl:lncRNA